AGAAUCAACGCUGGCGGCGUGCCUAACACAUGCAAGUCGCACGAGAAAGGGUAGCAAUACCUGAGUACAGUGGCGCACGGGUGAGUAACACGUGAAUAAUCUACCUCCGAGUGGGGAAUAACUGAGAGAAAUCUUAGCUAAUACCGCAUAAUACCCACGGGUCAAAGCAGCAAUGUGCUUGGAGAGGAGUUCGCGGCAGAUUAGUUAGUUGGUGGGGUAAUGGCCCACCAAGGCGACGACGGGUAGCCGGCCUGAGAGGGCGACCGGCCACACUGGGACUGAGACACGGCCCAGACUCCUACGGGAGGCAGCAGUGGGGAAUAUUGCACAAUGGGCGAAAGCCUGAUGCAGCGACGCCGCGUGAGGGAUGACGGCCUUCGGGUUGUAACCUCUUUCAGCAGGGACGAAGCGAAGUGACGGUACCUGCAGAAGAAGCACCGGCCAACUACGCGCCAGCAGCCGCGGU
rnacentral:rRNA from 1 species